CAAGCACUUUGAAAAGAGGGUGAAAAGAACCUGAAACCGUUACGGGGGAAGCGGAUUGCGUUGUAUUGAAAAGGGGCGUACUGUUCAGCAUAAAUUCUAUUUGUGUGUAUUCAGUGCGUUUCUAACCCGUCGUGGGCUUCGCACGGUCGAUUUUGGGCUGUGUGGGGCUGAGGUAUCCCCAUUUUUUUGGGUUGAUGACGAUGGGGCGCCAACGCGAUACGACCCGUCUUGAAACACGGACCAAGGAGUCCAGCAUGGCUGCGAGUCAAAGGGUGGUAAAACCUGAGGGCGCAGUGAAAGCAAUUGUUGCAAAACGUUGCAGUUUGAGGCGGCCUAGGAUCGUUGAUCCUAGGUCCGACCUAGAGCAGUUAUGCUGGUACCCGAAAGAUGGUGAACUAUGCUUGAGUAGGGUGAAGCCAGAGGAAACUCUGGUGGAAGCUCGUAGCGAUGCUGACGUGCAAAUCGCUCGUCUAACUCGGGUAUAGGGGCGGAAGACUAAUCGAACCAUCUAGUAGCUGGUUUCCUCCGAAGUUUCUCUCAGGAUAGCAGGCCGACGAAAUUCUAUGUUGUUGUGUGUGGUAAAGCGAAUGAUUAGCGUAUUUGGGGGCAAUUAGCUUUCAGACGAUUCUCAAACUUUAAAUACGCACGGAUGUUGCUGCUUUUUUGAGCGGCAUCGUCAAAAACGUCGGCCUUGUGGGCCACUUUUGGUAAGC
rnacentral:rRNA from 1 species